rnacentral:rRNA from 1 species
AGCGAACGGGGAGGAGCCCAGAGCCUGAAUCAGUGUGUGUGUUAGUGGAAGCGUCUGGAAAGGCGCGCGAUACAGGGUGACAGCCCCGUACACAAAAAUGCACAUAUUGUGAGCUCGAUGAGUAGGGCGGGACACGUGGUAUCCUGUCUGAAUAUGGGGGGCCCAUCCUCCAAGGCUAAAUACUCCUGACUGACCGAUAGUGAACCAGUACCGUGAGGGAAAGGCGAAAAAGAACCCCGGCGAGGGGAGUGAAAAAAGAACCUGAAACCGUGUACGUACAAGCAGUGGGAGCACGCUUAGGCGUGUGACUGCGUACCUUUUGUAUAAUGGGUCAGCGACUUAUAUUCUGUA